AUACAGAGGGUGCAAGCGUUAAUCGGAAUUACUGGGCGUAAAGCGCGCGUAGGCGGUUUUGUAAGUCGAACGUGAAAGCCCUGAGCUCAACUCAGGAACUGCAUUCGAUACUGCAUGACUAGAGUAUGGUAGAGGGAAGUGGAAUUCCAGGUGUAGCGGUGAAAUGCGUAGAUAUCUGGAGGAACAUCAGUGGCGAAGGCGACUUCCUGGACCAAUACUGACGCUGAGGUGCGAAAGCGUGGGGAGCAAACAGGAUUAGAAACCCCAGUAGUCC
rnacentral:rRNA from 1 species